rnacentral:piRNA from 6 species
CAUAAUUUGUGGUAGUGGGGGACU